rnacentral:rRNA from 1 species
UACGUAGGGGGCAAGCGUUGUCCGGAAUCAUUGGGCGUAAAGCGCGUGUAGGCGGCCCGGUAAGUCCGCUGUGAAAGUCGGGGGCUCAACCCUCGGAUGCCGGUGGAUACUGUCGGGCUAGAGUGCGGGAGAGGCGAGUGGAAUUCCUGGUGUAGCGGUGAAAUGCGCAGAUAUCAGGAGGAACACCAAUGGCGAAGGCAGCUCGCUGGGACGGUACUGACGCUGAGACGCGAAAGCGUGGGGAGCAAACAGG